rnacentral:rRNA from 1 species
UACGUAGGGCGCAAGCAUUAUCCGGAAUUACUGGGCGUAAAGCGUGCGCAGGCGGUGAUGUAAGACAGAUGUGAAAUCCCCGGGCUCAACCUGGGAACUGCAUUUGUGACUGCAUGGCUGGAGUGCGGCAGAGGGGGAUGGAAUUCCGCGUGUAGCAGUGAAAUGCGUAGAUAUGCGGAGGAACACCGAUGGCGAAGGCAAUCCCCUGGGCCUGCACUGACGCUCAUGCACGAAAGCGUGGGGAGCAAACAGG